rnacentral:rRNA from 1 species
GAUGAACGCUGGCGGCGUGCCUAAUACAUGCAAGUCGAGCGAACGGACGAGAAGCUUGCUUCUCUGAUGUUAGCGGCGGACGGGUGAGUAACACGUGGAUAACCUACCUAUAAGACUGGGAUAACUUCGGGAAACCGGAGCUAAUACCGGAUGAUAUUUUGAACCGCAUGGUUCAAAAGUGAAAGACGGUCUUGCUGUCACUUAUCGAUGGAUCCGCGCUGCAUUAGCUAGUUGUUAAGGUAACGGCUUACCAAGGCAACGAUGCAUAGCCGACCUGAGAGGGUGAUCGCCCACACGGGAACGGAGACACGGUCAAGACGCCUAAGGGAGGCAGCAGUAGGGAAUCUGCCGCAAUGGGCGAAAGCCUGACGGAGCAACGCCGCGUGAGUGAUGAAGGUCUUCGGAUCGUAAAACUCUGUUAUUAGGGAAGAACAUAUGUGUAAGUAACUGUGCACAUCUUGACGGUACCUAAUCAGAAAGCCACGGCUAACUACGUG